rnacentral:rRNA from 1 species
GACGAACGCUGGCGGCGUGCCUAAUACAUGCAAGUCGAGCGCAGGAAACCGUCUGAACCCUUCGGGGGGACGACGGUGGAAUGAGCGGCGGACGGGUGAGUAACACGUAAAGAACCUGCCCAUAGGUCUGGGAUAACCACGAGAAAUCGGGGCUAAUCCCGGAUGUGUCAUCGGACCGCAAGGUCCGCUGAUGAAAGGCGCUUCGGCGUCGCCCAUGGAUGGCUUUGCGGUGCAUUAGCUAGUUGGUGGGGUAAUGGCCCACCAAGGCGACGAUGCAUAGCCGACCUGAGAGGGCGAUCGGCCACACUGGGACUGAGACACGGCCCAGACCCCUACGGGAGGCAGCAGUAGGGAAUCUUCCACAAUGGACGAAAGUCUGAUGGAGCAACGCCGCGUGAACGAUGAAGGCUUUCGGGUCGUAAAGUUCUGUUGUAAGGGAAGAACAAGUGCCGCAGGCAAUGGCGGCACCUUGACGGUACCUUGCGAGAAAGCCACGGCUAACUACGUGCCAGCCGCCGCCGUAA